ACACAUGCAAGUCGAACGGGAUCCAUUUCCGCUUGCGGUUUUGGUGAGAGUGGCGAACGGGUGAGUAACACGUGAGUAACCUGCCCCCUUCUUUGGGAUAACUGCCGGAAACGGUGGCUAAUACUGGAUAUUCAGCAAUGGUCGCAUGGUUGUUGUUGGAAAGGUUUUUCUGGUGGGGGAUGGGCUCGCGGCCUAUCAGCUUGUUGGUGGGGUGAUGGCCUACCAAGGCUUUGACGGGUAGCCGGCCUGAGAGGGUGACCGGCCACACUGGGACUGAGACACGGCCCAGACUCCUACGGGAGGCAGCAGUGGGGAAUAUUGCACAAUGGGGGAAACCCUGAUGCAGCGACGCCGCGUGAGGGAUGACGGCCUUCGGGUUGUAAACCUCUUUCAGUAGGGAAGAAUUUGACGGUACCUGCAGAAGAAGCGCCGGCUAACUACGUGCCAGCAGCCGCGGUAAUACGUAGGGCGCAAGCGUUGUCCGGAAUUAUUGGGCGUAAAGAGCUCGUAGGCGGCUUGUCGCGUCUGCCGUGAAAACCUGCAGCUUAACUGUGGGCUUGCGGUGGGUACGGGCUGGCUUGAGUGCAGUAGGGGAGACUGGAAUUCCUGGUGUAGCGGUGGAAUGCGCAGAUAUCAGGAGGAACACCGGUGGCGAAGGCGGGUCUCUGGGCUGUUACUGACGCUGAGGAGCGAAAGCAUGGGGAGCGAACAGGAUUAGAUACCCU
rnacentral:rRNA from 1 species